rnacentral:lncRNA from 1 species
CUCAAGAGGAGGAUCCAGAUGCUUUCAGUUUUAACUAUUCACCAAUGGUGGAAAAGGCAGAAUGCCUAAGCUAUGUCUUGGUGGCCAAUAGGAUGGCUGUGUAUCUCCCACAUGACUCGCUGCCUCUGUCUUUCACAUGGGCUGUAAUUUAGUUCAAUUCAGAACUGCAGAUAGUACAGCUUUCACAGGAGCAAGGAUGCCUGAGCACAAGUGGCUGAGUUCCGAGUGACUUUAUGAAGCACUUUCCUACCUCCCUCCGUCAUGAAAACGGGGAUUCUGCACCUGCAUCAGGGACAGUCUGGCAAAAGCCUCUGCUAUGCCUCCGGGGACAAGGAACUAGCACAAAUAACCAUUUUGAAAUUGGAUCUUGGCAAAAUUAGCAACAAAUCCAUAAAGGAAACUGAAAGCAAUUGGAUCUCCAUCUUCAGUGGAGUCCCACAAAAGUUGGAGAAAUACAUUGUCUCCAAAGAGGAUACAGCUGUACCCUAAAAUUAGGACAUAAUUAAGAAUGAAGUUCUGAAAGGAAGUUCCUCAGUUUUUCAUACAAAAGAUUCCUGGGAAGGCAUCUGAAUCACAGCAAAAGCAACUACUUGGCCUGAAACUGGUCUGCAAAGGUGACUGACUUCAAAGUGGUUCCACACAACACCCAAGUAAAAUAAUCCGUUACUUUUUAAUUUUCUCUUAACAGCAAUUGUUAUAACGGCUACAGUGACAACAGAAAUAAUAAAUGUCUCAAGAUUUCCUGGUAAGAGCA